AGGAAGAGCUCUCUUUUGGCAAGGAGUUUAGGGAUUGAAAGCAUUGAAGCUUAUUAAUAAGAUGAACAGCAACAGUACUUUAUUACCAGCUCCUGAGCAUCCGCUGAAUGUGAUGUUAUAAGCAUUGUUAUAAGCAUCGAGAAAAUGCUUAUAAGGGAGCCCAGUCGCUCCCUUCCAAAACCUUGUAGACCAGUGGGGAAGCUGAGCAAUGUCACGGCACACGGUGCAUGAUAACAUGUCCCCAGCAAUUUAACAUCAGUCACCUCAUUUGACCCUCCCAGGAUCUGCACAAAGUAGGCAAGACAUGCGUUGUUAAUCCCCACUUAGUAGGCAACAAAACACAACAAAAAAACAAGGUAGAAGAAGCAGCCCAGAGAGAUGGAGUGGAUUGGCUAAAUUCGUACGUGAGGCAGAGUCAGAGUUGAGCAGGCCUUCUAAAUGCUCAUUUCCAGUCCUCGGGCCUGAACCACUCUGGGAUGGCUCUGGCUUGGCCUGUGAUCAGAACACCAGCUCUGGCCCUCUCAGAAUUCAUGACAUUUCCACUGCCCACAAUUAUUCUGUUCAAAAAUGUUGGAGACUUCUCAGACCCAGCCCAGGGUGGCAUAUGAGACAUGCUAUCCUAGUGUUACUUGGCUGAUUAUAAUAAGGAUGAUAACAACAGAUAUAUAAUAUCCUUCCUUUGUAGCACAAUUUUUAGUUCAAACAGUGCUCUCCUAUGUGCCGACACUAGUGAAUGAGUGUGUGUGUGUGUGUGUGUGUGUGUGUGUUUUACUGUUAAAAGUAGAUGUUAUUAUCCCAUGUCACAGGGGAUGAAAAUGAGGUUCUGAGAAGUUUACUUUCUCAAAGUCACAAGUGAAGUAAAGCACAGAGGCCAGGCUCAAGGUAGCUGUCUAGAAGUCCAAGCCUUGGGCUCUUCUUACUGACAUGCAGUCAUCUGACUCAUCACAGAGGAGGAUAACCGUGGCCAAGAGAUGUUGACGGUUUGCCUAAGAUUGCAGAACCUGCUAAAAGCAGAAGCAUUUUCAAGCACAGAAACACCCGGGGAAAUGUUCAUUCUUCCUUCAACAACUCUGAAAUCUCCUAAAACAUGCAGCCCACCAGGAGUGGCAAUGCAAAAAAGGCACAGGAAGAAAAUAAACCAAGAAGGAAAAGAUAACACACACAUCUCAUGUGGGCCUUCAAGAAGGAUGGGAGAAGCAGGGCAGGGAGAGGGAGAAGCACCCACCAGCCUCAGUUCUUCCUUUGCUCAUCCCCCCCUCCUUCUUUUCCCUUCCCUCCCCCGUUUCCUGCAUGCAGCAGCAAAUGUAUGAAUGCUUGGAUGGCUUGGCAAAACACUCUCCAAGAUUUAUUUCUGUUGGACAAUCUUGCAUUCUUUUUUCUUCCCCCUGCUGACAACUCUGUCAACAGCAGGCUCCUCUGUGAGGCUGUGAGUUUGGAAAUCAGGCACUUGAUACAGACAUUGUUGCAAUGAUACAAACCAGACUAAGAAAGUGGACUCCUGAGAUCAGGGAGACCUGCAGACCUACUUGGUUCAUUACCUGGGAGUCACCGGGACCUCAGGGCUUGGCGAAGAGACCAUCUGGGGAGGGGGAGGGGGCAGCGGUCCUGGGCAUGUGGUCAGUUCAAGGCAAGGAGAUGGUUCCAGUAGUUCAAAAGCUAGAUCUGUUUGUACGAGCUCCAACAAUAGCUUUGAAUUGCUUUGAAACUCGAGUGUUGAUAAGCCACUAGGUAGCGGGGUACUGGGUAAUAAAUGUGAAAAAUGUUUUGUCGA